ensembl:lncRNA
UACCAUUGGCUGCUGGCUUACCAUUGGCUGCUGGCUUACCAUUGGCUGCUGGCUUACCAUUGGCUGCUGGCUUACCAUUGGCUGGUUGGUUGUGAACUGCAGACUACUACUGGACUCUCUUCCUCCUUUGGACUGAAGCAACUGUCUAUUGAUAUGUAAUGUGUUUCCUUGUUUGAAAUACUGUAUUACGUUGACAAAAAGAUGUCAUAGACAUUUUAAUAGCUACUGACAUGUUGGGUAGGCCCAGGGGAAGGCCAUAUUACGGCCAUGCUUACCUGAUAUCGGGUUAUUAUGGCCUUGAUUACUUGAUAUCGGGUUAUUACGGCCUUGGUUACUUGAUAUCGGGUUAUUACGGCCUUGGUUACUUGAUAUCGGGUUAUUACGGCCUUGGUUACUUGAUAUCGGGUUAUUACGGCCUUGGUUACUUGAUAUCGGGUUAUUACGGCCUUGGUUACUUGAUAUCGGGUUAUUACGGCCUUGGUUACUUGAUAUCGGGUUAUUACGGCCUUGGUUACUUGAUAUCGGGUUAUUAUGGCCUUGGUUACUUGAUAUGGGGUUAUUAUGGCCUUGGUUACUUGGUGGCAGGGUAGCCUAGUGGUUAGAGCGUUGGUCUAGUAACAGGAAGAUUGCAAGUUCAAACCCCCGAGCUGACAAGGUACAAAUCUGUCAUUCUGCCCCUGAACAGGCAGUUAAACCCACUGUUCCUAGACCGUCAUUGAAAAUAAGAAUUUGUUCUUAACUGACUUGCCUAGUUAAAUAAAGGUUAAAUAAAUAUUGGGUUAUUAUGGCCUUGGUUACUUGAAGUGCUAGGUGGUGGUGAUGACCACGGACUGAACUUGAUUAUUGGGUGUGUCCCAAAUUGUACCAUAUUUCCUACGUAGUGCACUAUAUUGGGAGUGGACAUUAUGUUCAUAUUUUAUAUAUUUUAUGCCUCUUGUGUUUCAGGAAUCAUUGAUUUGCCGAUAAAUCGUAUCUUACUUUCGUAUUGAGUUUUGUCAUCGUUGUUGAAGGGAACUAUGAUCAUGCUAGCCUGAGUUCUAGACUGAGUGCCAGUCUGUCUGUGCUGUCAUGCCAACUCCUUGUCACUCAUUUAGCUUGACAAUGACAGCAUUGGAGUUAUCAAGAGAACAAACUGAUCUGGGACCAGGCUCUGCUCACCAGCUGACAACUCCAAUUUUUUAAAUGUUUAAAAGCUUUGACAUGAUGAGACCGGUCAGAAAUAUGCAGCGUCCCAUAAAACAACCCAGACCAGAACCGUAGGCCUGAUCACCGACAACGACGAGACAGCCUAUAGGGAGGAGGUCAGAGACCUGGCCGUGAGGUGCCAGGACAACAACCUCUCCCUCAACGACGAGACAGCCUAUAGGGAGGAGGUCAGAGACCUGGCCGUGAGGUGCCAGGACAACAACCUCUCCCUCAACGACGAGACAGCCUAUAGGGAGGAGGUCAGAGACCUGGCCGUGUGGUGCCAGGACAACAACCUCUCCAUCAACGUGAUCAAGACAAAGGGGAUGAUUGUGGACUACAGGGAAAAAAAGGACUAAGCACGCCCCCAUUCUCAUCGCCGGGGCUGCAGUGGAGCAGGUUGAGAGCUUCAAGUUCCUUGGUGUCCACAUCACCAACAAACUAACAUGGUCCAAGCACACCAAGAUAAGAGAAGAGGGCAAAACAAAACCUAUUCCCCCUCAGGAGACAAAAUAUUUGUCAUGGGUCCUCAGAUCCUCAAAAGGUUCUACAGCUGCACCAUCGAGAGCAUCCUGACUAGUUGCAUCAAUGCCUGUUAUGGUAACUGCUCGGCCUCCGACCGUAAGCCACUACAGAGGGUAAUGCGUAUGGCCCAGUACAUCACUGGGGACAAGCUUCCUGCCAUCCAGGACCUCUAUACCAGGCUGCGUCAGAGGAAGGCCCUAAAAAUUGUCAGACUCCAGCCACUCUAGUCUUUCUCUCUGCUACCGCAUGGCAAGCGGUACCAGAGUGCCAAGUCUAGGUCCAAGAGGCUCCUAAACAGCUUCUACCCCCAAGCCAUAAGUCUCCUGAACAACUAAUCAAAUGGCUCCCCAGACUAUUUGCAUUGCCCCCCUCUUUUACACCACUGUUACUCUCUGUUGUUAUCAUCUAUGCAUUGUCACUUUAAUAACUCUAUGUACAUAUUACCUCAACUAACCGGUGCCCCGGCACAUUGACUCUGUACCGGUGCCCCCUGUAUAUAGCCUCCACAUUGACUCUGUACCGGUACCCCCUGUAUAUAGCCUCCACAUUGACUCUGUACCGGUUCCCCCUGUAUAUAGCCUCCACAUUGACUCUGUACCGUAAUACCCUGUAUAUAGCCUCCACAUUGACUGUACCGUAACACCCUAUAUAUAGCCUCCACAUUGACUCUGUACUGGUACCCC